GUCGUUGUAGUAUAGUGGUAAGUAUUUCCACCUGUCACGUGGGUGACCCGGGUUCGCUGCCCGGCAACGGCG
rnacentral:tRNA from 1 species